GGCUGAGUAACACGUGGGCAACCUGCCCCCUCCACCGGGACAGCCUCGGGAAACCGUGGGUAAUACCGGAUACUCCGGGACGGCCGCAUGGCCGGCCCGGGAAAGCCCAGACGGGAGGGGAUGGGCCCGCGGCCUGUUAGCUAGUCGGCGGGGUAACGGCCCACCGAGGCGAUUAUGGGUAGCCGGGUUGAGAGACCGACCGGCCAGAUUGGGACUGAGACACGGCCCAGACUCCUACGGGAGGCAGCAGUGGGGAAUCUUGCGCAAUGGGCGGAAGCCUGACGCAGCGACGCCGCGUGCGGGACGAAGGCCUUCGGGUCGUAAGCCGCUUUCAGCAGGGACGAGGCCCUCACGGUGACGGUACCUGCAGAAGAAGCCCCGGCUAACUACGUGCCAGCAGCCGCGGUAAUACGUAGGGGGCGAGCGUUAUCCGGAUUCAUUGGGCGUAAAGCGCGCGUAGGCGGCCUGUUAGGUCGGGGGUCAAAUACCGGGGCUCAACCCCGGUCCGCCCCCGAUACCGGCAGGCUUGAGUCUGGUAGGGGAAGGCGGAAUUCCCAGUGUAGCGGUGGAAUGCGCAGAUAUUGGGAAGAACACCGGCGGCGAAGGCGGCCUUCUGGGCCACGACUGACGCUGAGGCGCGAAAGCUAGGGGAGCGAACAGGAUUAGAUACCCUGGUAGUCCUAGCCGUAAACGAAG
rnacentral:rRNA from 1 species